rnacentral:rRNA from 1 species
ACGUAGGCAGCGAGCGUUGUUCGGAGUUACUGGGCGUAAAGGGUGUGUAGGCGGUUGUUUAAGUUUGGUGUGAAAUCUCCCGGCUCAACCGGGAGGGUGCGCCGAAUACUGAAUGACUAGAGUGUGGGAGAGGUGAGUGGAAUUCCUGGUGUAGCGGUGAAAUGCGUAGAUAUCAGGAGGAACACCGGUGGUGUAGACGGCUCACUGGACCAUAACUGACGCUGAGACACGAAAGCGUGGGUAGCAAACAGGA